UCGGGAAUUUUGGGCAAUGGGCGAAAGCCUGACCCAGCAACGCCGCGUGAAGGAUGAAGUAUUUCGGUAUGUAAACUUCGAAAGAAUAGGAAGAAUAAAUGACGGUACUAUUUAUAAGGUCCGGCUAACUACGUGCCAGCAGCCGCGGUAAUACAGAGGGUGCGAGCGUUAAUCGGAAUUACUGGGCGUAAAGCGCGCGUAGGCGGCUUCGCAAGUCGGAUGUGAAAUCCCCAGGCUUAACCUGGGAACUGCAUUCGAGACUGCAUUGCUAGAGUAUGGGAGAGGGAAGUGGAAUUUCCGGUGUAGCGGUGAAAUGCGUAGAUAUCGGAAGGAACAUCAGUGGCGAAAGCGACUUCCUGGACCAAUACUGACGCUCAUGUGCGAAAGCGUGGGGAGCAAACAGGAUUAGAUACCCCCGUAGUCCCUGAGCGGGCUGGCAAGGCGCAU
rnacentral:rRNA from 1 species